rnacentral:sRNA from 1 species
UAAUUUACAGUAUAAGCUAUAUCCGGUC